rnacentral:rRNA from 1 species
AAAUUGAAGAGUUUGAUCAUGGCUCAGAUUGAACGCUGGCGGCAGGCCUAACACAUGCAAGUCGAGCGGAAACGAGUUAUCUGAACCUUCGGGGAACGAUAACGGCGUCGAGCGGCGGACGGGUGAGUAAUGCCUAGGAAAUUGCCCUGAUGUGGGGAUAACCAUUGGAAACGAUGGCUAAUACCGCAUAACGCCUACGGGCCAAAGAGGGGGACCUUCGGGCCUCUCGCGUCAGGAUAUGCCUAGGUGGGAUUAGCUAGUUGGUGAGGUAAGGGCUCACCAAGGCGACGAUCCCUAGCUGGUCUGAGAGGAUGAUCAGCCACACUGGAACUGAGACACGGUCCAGACUCCUACGGGAGGCAGCAGUGGGGAAUAUUGCACAAUGGGCGCAAGCCUGAUGCAGCCAUGCCGCGUGUGUGAAGAAGGCCUUCGGGUUGUAAAGCACUUUCAGUCGUGAGGAAGGUAGUGUAGUUAAUAGCUGCAUUAUUUGACGUUAGCGACAGAAGAAGCACCGGCUAACUCCGUGCCAGCAGCCGCGGUAAUACGGAGGGUGCGAGCGUUAAUCGGAAUUACUGGGCGUAAAGCGCAUGCAGGUGGUUUGUUAAGUCAGAUGUGAAAGCCCGGGGCUCAACCUCGGAAUUGCAUUUGAAACUGGCAGACUAGAGUACUGUAGAGGGGGUAGAAUUUCAGGUGUAGCGGUGAAAUGCGUAGAGAUCUGAAGGAAUACCGGUGGCGAAGGCGGCCCCCUGGACAGAUACUGACACUCAGAUGCGAAAGCGUGGGGAGCAAACAGGAUUAGAUACCCUGGUAGUCCACGCCGUAAACGAUGUCUACUUGGAGGUUGUGGCCUUGAGCCGUGGCUUUCGGAGCUAACGCGUUAAGUAGACCGCCUGGGGAGUACGGUCGCAAGAUUAAAACUCAAAUGAAUUGACGGGGGCCCGCACAAGCGGUGGAGCAUGUGGUUUAAUUCGAUGCAACGCGAAGAACCUUACCUACUCUUGACAUCCAGAGAACUUUCCAGAGAUGGAUUGGUGCCUUCGGGAACUCUGAGACAGGUGCUGCAUGGCUGUCGUCAGCUCGUGUUGUGAAAUGUUGGGUUAAGUCCCGCAACGAGCGCAACCCUUAUCCUUGUUUGCCAGCGAGUAAUGUCGGGAACUCCAGGGAGACUGCCGGUGAUAAACCGGAGGAAGGUGGGGACGACGUCAAGUCAUCAUGGCCCUUACGAGUAGGGCUACACACGUGCUACAAUGGCGCAUACAGAGGGCAGCCAACUUGCGAAAGUGAGCGAAUCCCAAAAAGUGCGUCGUAGUCCGGAUCGGAGUCUGCAACUCGACUCCGUGAAGUCGGAAUCGCUAGUAAUCGUGGAUCAGAAUGCCACGGUGAAUACGUUCCCGGGCCUUGUACACACCGCCCGUCACACCAUGGGAGUGGGCUGCAAAAGAAGUAGGUAGUUUAACCUUCGGGAGGACGCUUACCACUUUGUGGUUCAUGACUGGGGUGAAGUCGUAACAAGGUAGCGCUAGGGGAACCUGGCGCUGGAUCACCUCCUUAUACGAUGAU